UACGGAGGUGGCAAGCGUUGUUCGGAAUUACCGGGCGUAAAGGGCGCGUAGGCGGCAUGGCAAGUCAGGUGUGAAAGCCCCGGGCUCAACUCGGGAACUGCAUCUGAAACUGCUGUGCUUGAGUCCUGGAGGGGGUAGUGGAAUUCCCAGUGUAGCGGUGAAAUGCGUAGAUAUUGGGAGGAACACCGGUGGCGAAGGCGGCUACCUGGACAGUGACUGACGCUGAGGCGCGAAAGCUAGGGGAGCGAACGGG
rnacentral:rRNA from 1 species